rnacentral:rRNA from 1 species
GACGAACGCUGGCGGCGUGCCUAAUACAUGCAAGUUGAGCGCUGAAGGGUGGUGCUUGUUCCAACUGGAUGAGCAGCGAACGGGUGAGUAACGCGUGGGUAAUCUGCCUUUGAGCGGGGGACAACAUUUGGAAACGAAUGCUAAUACCGCAUAAAAACUUUAAACACAAGUUUUAAGUUUGAAAGAUGCAAUUGCAUCACUCAAAGAUGAUCCCGCGUUGUAUUAGCUAGUUGGUGAGGUAAAGGCUCACCAAGGCGAUGAUACAUAGCCGACCUGAGAGGGUGAACGGCCACCAUGGGACUGAGACACGGCCCAAAACCCUACGGGAGGCAGCAGUAGGGAAUCCUAGGGCAUGGAGGAAAGGCUGAACGAGGAACGCCGGGGGAGGGAAGAAGGGUUUCGGAUCGUAAAAAUCUGUUGGUAGAGAAGAACGUUGGUGGGAGUGGAAAGCGCAUCAAGUGACGGUAACUAACCAGAAAGGGACGGCUAACUACGUG